rnacentral:rRNA from 1 species
UACGUAGGGUGCAAGCGUUGUCCGGAAUUAUUGGGCGUAAAGAGCUCGUAGGCGGCCUGUUGCGUCCGCUGUGAAAUCCCGGGGCUCAACCCCGGGCCUGCAGUGGAUACGGGCUGGCUAGAGGCAGGCAGGGGAGAACGGAAUUCCUGGUGUAGCGGUGAAAUGCGCAGAUAUCAGGAGGAACACCGGUGGCGAAGGCGGUUCUCUGGGCCUGUACUGACGCUGAGGAGCGAAAGCGUGGGGGAGCGAACAGG